rnacentral:rRNA from 1 species
AAAUUGAAGAGUUUGAUCAUGGCUCAGAUUGAACGCUGGCGGCAGGCCUAACACAUGCAAGUCGAACGGUAACAGGAAGCAGCUUGCUGCUUCGCUGACGAGUGGCGGACGGGUGAGUAAUGUCUGGGAAACUGCCUGAUGGAGGGGGAUAACUACUGGAAACGGUGGCUAAUACCGCAUAACGUCGCAAGACCAAAGAGGGGGACCUUCGGGCCUCUUGCCAUCAGAUGUGCCCAGAUGGGAUUAGCUAGUUGGUGAGGUAACGGCUCACCAAGGCGACGAUCCCUAGCUGGUCUGAGAGGAUGACCAGCCACACUGGAACUGAGACACGGUCCAGACUCCUACGGGAGGCAGCAGUGGGGAAUAUUGCACAAUGGGCGCAAGCCUGAUGCAGCCAUGCCGCGUGUAUGAAGAAGGCCUUCGGGUUGUAAAGUACUUUCAGCGGGGAGGAAGGUGUUGUGGUUAAUAACCGCAGCAAUUGACGUUACCCGCAGAAGAAGCACCGGCUAACUCCGUGCCAGCAGCCGCGGUAAUACGGAGGGUGCAAGCGUUAAUCGGAAUUACUGGGCGUAAAGCGCACGCAGGCGGUCUGUCAAGUCGGAUGUGAAAUCCCCGGGCUCAACCUGGGAACUGCAUUCGAAACUGGCAGGCUUGAGUCUUGUAGAGGGGGGUAGAAUUCCAGGUGUAGCGGUGAAAUGCGUAGAGAUCUGGAGGAAUACCGGUGGCGAAGGCGGCCCCCUGGACAAAGACUGACGCUCAGGUGCGAAAGCGUGGGGAGCAAACAGGAUUAGAUACCCUGGUAGUCCACGCCGUAAACGAUGUCUACUUGGAGGUUGUGCCCUUGAGGCGUGGCUUCCGGAGCUAACGCGUUAAGUAGACCGCCUGGGGAGUACGGCCGCAAGGUUAAAACUCAAAUGAAUUGACGGGGGCCCGCACAAGCGGUGGAGCAUGUGGUUUAAUUCGAUGCAACGCGAAGAACCUUACCUGGUCUUGACAUCCACAGAACUUUCCAGAGAUGGACUGGUGCCUUCGGGAACUGUGAGACAGGUGCUGCAUGGCUGUCGUCAGCUCGUGUUGUGAAAUGUUGGGUUAAGUCCCGCAACGAGCGCAACCCUUAUCCUUUGUUGCCAGCGGUCCGGCCGGGAACUCAAAGGAGACUGCCAGUGAUAAACUGGAGGAAGGUGGGGAUGACGUCAAGUCAUCAUGGCCCUUACGACCAGGGCUACACACGUGCUACAAUGGCGCAUACAAAGAGAAGCGACCUCGCGAGAGCAAGCGGACCUCAUAAAGUGCGUCGUAGUCCGGAUUGGAGUCUGCAACUCGACUCCAUGAAGUCGGAAUCGCUAGUAAUCGUGGAUCAGAAUGCCACGGUGAAUACGUUCCCGGGCCUUGUACACACCGCCCGUCACACCAUGGGAGUGGGUUGCAAAAGAAGUAGGUAGCUUAACCUUCGGGAGGGCGCUUACCACUUUGUGAUUCAUGACUGGGGUGAAGUCGUAACAAGGUAACCGUAGGGGAACCUGCGGUUGGAUCACCUCCUUACCUGAAAGAAGC